rnacentral:tRNA from 1 species
GGAUAGAUGCAGCAAGUAAUUCUAUCUGUAGUCUCGAAAAUUACUUCAGGGUCAAACCUGACGGGGGUUCGAAUCCCCCUCUCUCCG